CACACUCUAAAAUUAUUUCACCAGGGGUGAGGGGCUGUCCGCUCUUUUUGGAAUAAAGUUAUGGGCCAUACGAGCACCAAACAAGUCUUAUAAACGUGCAUAAGAAGUUGAAAUCUUUGCCACUAUUGUUUGCAUGAUUUGAAUUUCAGGUGGCUGGGUUGGAUGCUGAUAUGUCCCACGUUCUUGGAGGACUUCAUCUUAUCUUAUGCACUGGAGUUUAAGGAAAUUGAUGCACACCGGCAAUGGCCAAUUCUAUGACACGAUGCUAUGUGCUGUUUGUAAUUGUAGGGACUUCAGUUUUUGUAGGGAGAUGGGCUUUCAAUAACUGAUUAGUGUAGAAUGUAGAAAUCCAAAGCUUUCAAACUCUCUUUUCCAUUGUACAAAAUAAUAUCAAUUACUAAAGUUCUCUAUUGCUUUUA